rnacentral:rRNA from 1 species
UACGUAGGCAGCAAGCGUUGCUCGGAAUCACUGGGCGUAAAGGGUGCGUAGGCGGGGCUUUAAGUCAGGGGUGAAAUCCUGGAGCUCAACUCCAGAACUGCCUUUGAUACUGAAGAUCUUGAGUUCGGGAGAGGUGAGUGGAACUGCGAGUGUAGAGGUGAAAUUCGUAGAUAUUCGCAAGAACACCAGUGGCGAAGGCGGCUCACUGGCCCGAUACUGACGCUGAGGCGCGAAAGCGUGGGGAGCAAACAGG